UUUAAUCAGUGUCUCCAGAGGUUUAUAAAUAAGAAAAACACCUUGAGCUGGUUGGGUCAUCUCUCUAGCCACUAUUGCUUGAGUUAGAUGAUGCAAGAAUAGCAAUGAGUUCGAUUAAUCUAAAUUUUCUCUUGAAAGCAAUAAUAAUAGUAAUGCUGCAUUUGAAAAUUGGAAAUGCAAAUAAUGCGAGCUGCAUCGAGGAGGAGAGAUAAACUCUUCUCAACAUCAAGCAUGCCUUCAUCGACCACUAUGGCCGUUUGUUUUCAUAGGGCUCUUCUUUAGAUUGUUGCCAUUGGAGUGGUGUCCUUUGUCAUCGUCAAUCUAGCCACAUUCAAAUGCUUGAUCUUCACGGUUAUGACUAUGAGGAAGGUUUCCAACCUUUAAGAGGUUCUAAAUCUUUCCAGCAACAAUUUAGUUGGUAGCAUUCCUUUUCAACUUGGGAACCUUUCAAGUUUGCAAGAGCUCAAUCUGCAAGGGAACGAUUUAGUUGGCAAUAUUCCUUACCAACUUGGUAAUCUUUGAAGCUUGGAGAUACUUUGGAUUAGCUAUAAUGAUGAUUUGAAAAUUGAUGACAAGAGUCUAGCUAGUAUUGAAUAGCUUUCCAAUGUUCAGUCUUUAACUUCACUUGAUUUAAGUUGGGUGUCUAAUCUGAAUUACUCUAACAACUUGUUGCCCAUUAUUGGGAAGCUUCCAAACCUGAAAGAGCUAUGGCUAUCCAACUGUAGCUUGAUAGAUAUUAAUAUUCCAUCAACUCCUCCAUCCCAUUUGAAUGUUUCUACAUCUCUUGUAACUCUUGAUCUCAAUGACAACAAGUUCACAUCAUCAAUAUGCCCUUAGCUGUUUAAUCUAAGCUCCAAUCUUGCAAAACUUGAUCUUUCUGACAAUCAUUUAGGUGGUCCCCUUCCAGAUGAUUUUGGAAAAAACAAAAAGUUCUUUAGUAGAUCUCUACCUUUGGGAUAAUAAGCUAAAUGGAACAAUCAGUGAAGUCUAUUUUGAUAAUCUCACCAAGUUACAAUCAUUAGAACUGUCUUAUAACUUGUUGACCCUUAAAUUCAACAACAAUUUGAUUCCUCCUUUUCAAUUACAAAACAUAAGGUUAUUGCACUAUAAGUUGGUCCCAGAUUCCCUAUUUGGCUUCGCAGUGAAAAGAAUUUACGAGCUUUAUUUAUUUCUCAUGUUGAAAUUAAUGAUUAUGUACCAGAGUGGUUUUGGAGACUUGUAAAGGGAGCCAUAUCUCUCUUGAUAGAAUCUAGCAAUCUCAAAGGUACAAUUCCAGAUUUGUCACUUGAAUUUGUUGUUUCAAGAAUAUCGUCGGCUCACAAUCAAAUUGAAGGUUUAGUUCCACUAUACCUAUUAGAUGGAGGAUUUGUAGAUAUUUUAGGAAAUCAAAUUUCCAAUUUUUCUCCUACAUGUGGCGAGGGGACAAGUUCUUCAAUUGUUGAAAACUUGGUAGCAUUAAAUCUCUCCAGUAAUAAAUUAUCAGGGAAACUUCUUGAUUGUUGGAGUGAUUUCAGAUCAUUAAAGAUUGUUGAUUUAUCUAAUAACCAACUCUCUAGAAGGAUUCCUCAUUCUAUAAUUUCCUGGAGUCAAAUUUGACAAUUGAUUUUACGAAACAAACGCUUUAGUGGUGAGCUUCGCCCUUGGAAAAUGCAACUGAAUUGACAUUGUUAGAUUUGGGAGGAAAUGACUUAUCAAGGCCAAUACCAUAUUCACGGAUAAGGAAGAAUCUUAAAAGUUUGGAGAUUCUUAGAUUAUGAAUGAACAAACUGGAUGGAAACUUGCCAUUUCGUCUUUGUCAUUUAACAAAUGUCAUAGUAAUGGAUCUCUCUUUUAAUAAGUUUACAGGACCUAUACCAUGUUGCUUAGACAAGCCAGAGGCAAUGAUUGAAAAACAUGUCUUCAACUACUCCAUGACUAUUAUCAAAAUUUUCAAGAAUGGAGAACCUGCAAGAAAAUACUCAUAUGAUUUGUUAUUUCCUAUGAUGUGGAAAGGAAGAGAAAUGCAGUACAAGGAUGGCUAUGGACUUCUAAACGUCAUUGAUCUCUCCCACGAUCAACUAGUGGGGGAUAUGCCAGCAGGAAUUGAGAAAUUGAUGGAAUUGAAAGCCUUGAAUUUAUCAGCAAAUAAUUUGAGUGGAGAAAUCAUUUUAGAGAUUGGAUGAUUAAAAUUAUUAGAAAUUUUAGAUCUAUCAAGAAAUCAUUUUUCUAGGAAAAUUAUUUCAAGUCUUGCUAAAAUAUCUUUUCUAAACAUUAUGAAUUUAUCAAAUAACAACUUGUCAACAAAAAUUCCUAUCGAAACACAAUUGCAAAGUUUGGACACUUCUAGCUAUGAAGGAAAUCUUUACUUUUGUGAAAGACCACUAAACAAGCUUUGCUCUUCUAAAGAACAUCUACUGUGGAAUGGACCACAAGGUGAUCUUGUUGUUGAUGAAGUUUUCCCUUUCACAAAAGGAUUCUAUGAGAGCUUGGGUGUGGGAUUUGCUACUGGAUUUUGGAUAAUCUUUGGCUCAUUGCUAGUUAUUCGCUCCGGGAGGCAUGUCUACCUCAAUUUCUUAAACAAGAUGGCAGACUAUUUAUGUGACAACCAUACUCUUUGUGGCAAGAUGGCACAGGUGGCUUCGCAUCUAAUUAAGGCUAAUAUCUCCUCACCUUGCUACCGUGUUAUUGUCAUUUGCAAAUAUAUGAGUGACUAUUUUUUUCUUUCUCAAUUAUUUAUUGAUAAUAAAAUUUAAUUUAUCUUUUUUAUUUAUUGUUGACCUGAAUAUCGUUUGCUGGCUCUGGCUGCUAUGAUCAGUUGGAGCUUCUAAUCAAGUGAGGACUUGGACUUAUCUACAAAAGCUAAGGAAUUCUUGUUCAUGAAAAUUGAUCUGCCAGGACUACGUGUCAUAUAUAUCAGUGGAUGUAAUGUGUGAUAUGAGAGUUUAUAUAAAUUGUUGAAUAGUCAUCGUGGGGUUGAACUUGAAAUACAAUAGAAAUAAGAGACGCCAUUGGGGUGACGUCGUUUUAUUGGUUUCUUUAGCUUUGAAAUUAUUAAUUAUUCAUUGGUGUGAAUUGUAAUUUUAUUGAAAUAAUUAAAUGAAGUUGUGUUCUAUUUAUAUUUGAAGAUUGGAA